rnacentral:tRNA from 1 species
AAUAAGAUGCCUGAUUUAAAGGAUUAUUUUGAUAGAAUAAAUUAUGUAUUUUUAUACUCUUAUUG